UACGUAGGGUGCGAGCGUUGCCCGGAUUUAUUGGGCGUAAAGGGCGCGUAGGCGGCCACGCACGUCCGUUGUGAAAUCGCCCGGCUCAACUGGGCGGGGUCAGCGGAUACGGUGUGGCUCGAGCAAGCUAGGGGGCAAUGGAAUUCCCGGUGUAGUGGUGGAAUGCGUAGAUAGUCGGGAGGAACACCAGUGGCGAAGGCGGUUGCCUGGAGCUUUGCUGACGCUGAUGCGCGAAAGCGUGGGGAGCGAUCCGG
rnacentral:rRNA from 1 species